UCAGUCUGGAAUAUACUGCAGUUUAUUAACUCUAAUAGAUGUGCUAUAUUAAAUAUUAAAAACAUCACGUAAAAAUGGCCACAAACAUACGCAGCAGCAGCAGCAGAAGCGGGAGUUUGGGCUGAACUGAGCGGGACACUGUUGUGCUUUUAAUUUCUACUCAGCUGGGGACAAAAGAUAGAUAAUCCCUUUGCUACACACAUCAUCGUACGAGAAACGAAGCCACAGACACGCUGGAGUGUUUACCUGUCUUUAUGUUAAAGGUUACAGGAGAGACCGCACUCACCACGAUGUACAGGUGAACUCAGGAAUAUCAGGAAAUUCAAAGUAGGGCGAUUAAAGAGAGACUUAAAGGGAUAUUUCAGCGUAAAAUUGAGUUAGGGUCAAACACACCCCCUCGAGAGAUGAAUGUAUGAAUACCAACUUUAGUAACGACCGCACGAUAGCAAUA